AGCUCCAAUAGCGUAUAUUUUAGUUGUUGCAGUUAAAAAGCUCGUAGUUGAAUUUCUGGUGGGAAGAUGCGGACGGCCUCAUGGCUUGUUCCAAGUCUUCCGGCCAUCCUUGGGUGGAGCUCGUCUGGCAUUAAGUUGUCGGGCGGGGGAUGCCCAUCGUUUACUGUGAAAAAAUUAAAGUGUUCAAAGCAGACUUAUGUCGUUGAAUAUAUUAGCAUGGAAUAAUAAGAUAGGACAGCAGUGCUAUUUUGUUGGUUUGCGCACCGUUGUAAUGAUGAAUAGGGACAGUUGUGGGUAUUUAUAUUCACUUGUAAGAGGUGAAAUUCUUAGAUUAAGGGAAGAUAAACUACUGCGAAAGCAUUUACCAAGGAUGUUUUCAUUA
rnacentral:rRNA from 1 species